rnacentral:rRNA from 1 species
UUGCCGGCGACCGGCGACGGGUGCGUAACGCGUAUGUAACCUACCUUUGACAGGGGGAUAACAUCGAGAAAUUGGUACUAAUGCCCCAUAACAUCACCGGAGGCAUCUUCGGUGGUUGAAAACUCAGGUGGUCAGAGAUGGACAUGCGUUGUAUUAGCUAGUUGGUGAGGUAACGGCUCACCAAGGCGACGAUACAUAGGGGGACUGAGAGGUCAACCCCCCACAUUGGUACUGAGACACGGACCAAACUCCUACGGAAGGCAGCAG